CUGGAGUCUGAGUUGACACUUAAUGACGCUAUAUGAAUGGGCUACCAGUAUGAACAGGUGUAAAAGCAAAGUGCAGAUAUGAGACAUGAAAGCAUGGUAGAAGAAGCGCAGCAGUCCAGGAGAGCUGCAUGUGACAAACAUAGUGUGAGAAGCAGACAGACUCAGAAGAGGGUGGAUGCAACAGCCUCUUUGCACAAGUUGUAACCGCACUCAUGGAACAAAGGUGUUAUGUGCUGCUAAAGACAAGAGGUGCAGGAAGUGCAACUAAGUCGGCCAUUUUGAGGUGGUUUGCAAAUUAGAGUCUAUUAAGGAAAUGCACCUGAACAGUGACCAGGCGAUGCAAAAGGGGUCCUUUAUAGGGUCAGUGGAAUAGUCCAGAUUUGAGGAAGAUUGUCGACUUACACUUACAGUGAUGUAUGCAAGGAUUGAUUUUGAGAUUGAUACAGAAGCAGACAUUACCAUCAUUGGUUGUGCAACAUUCACAGAAUUGCCAUGACGACCACAGUUUGAG